GACGAACCGUGCGAACGUUGUUCGGAAUCACUGGGCUUAAAGGGCGCGUAGGCGGGCCCGCAAGUCAGGGGUGAAAUCCCACGGCUCAACCGUGGAAGUGCCUUUGAUACUGCGGGUCUGGAGGGAGGUAGGGGCGUGCGGAACUUCCGGUGGAGCGGUGAAAUGCGUAGAUAUCAUUUGGAACGCCAAUGGUGAAAACAGCUCGCUGGGGGUGUACUGACACUGAGACACGAAAGCCAGGGGAGCGAACGGG
rnacentral:rRNA from 1 species